rnacentral:rRNA from 1 species
UACGAAGGGGGCAAGCGUUGUUCGGAAUUACUGGGCGUAAAGGGCGCGUAGGCGGCCGAUCAAGUCAGGCGUGAAAUUCCCGGGCUCAACCUGGGGGCUGCGCUUGAUACUGAUUGGCUUGAAUGCGGGAGAGGAUAGUGGAAUUCCCAGUGUAGAGGUGAAAUUCGUAGAUAUUGGGAAGAACACCGGUGGCGAAGGCGGCUAUCUGGCCCGUAAUUGACGCUGAGGCGCGAAUGCGUGGGGAGCAAACAGG